rnacentral:sRNA from 1 species
GCCAGGUUCUGUGGCGUACACCUGUAAUCCCAGCAGCUCGGGAGGUUGAGACAGGAGGAUCAUGAGUUCAAAGCCAGCCUUAGCAAUGCAAGUCAGUGAGACCCUGUCUCCA